UCCGAUAUGGUGUAGUGGUUAGCAUUGGUCGCUUUCAAUUCCUGGAAUCCCGGGAGUAAAAGGCACCGACUAGACCCGGGUUCAAUUCCCGGUAUCGGAA